rnacentral:rRNA from 1 species
ACUCCUGCGGGAGGCAGCAGUGGGGAAUAUUGGACAAUGGGCGCAAGCCUGAUCCAGCCAUGCCGCGUGAGUGAUGAAGGCCCUAGGGUUGUAAAGCUCUUUCACCGGUGAAGAUAAUGACGGUAACCGGAGAAGAAGCCCCGGCUAACUUCGUGCCAGCAGCCGCGGUAAUACGAAGGGGGCUAGCGUUGUUCGGAUUUACUGGGCGUAAAGCGCACGUAGGCGGACUAUUAAGUCAGGGGUGAAAUCCCGGGGCUCAACCCCGGAACUGCCUUUGAUACUGGUAGUCUUGAGUUCGAGAGAGGUGAGUGGAAUUCCGAGUGUAGAGGAGAAAUUCGUAGAUAUUCGGAGGAACACCAGUGGCGAAGGCGGCUCACUGGCUCGAUACUGACGCUGAGGUGCGAAAGCGUGGGGAGCAAACAGGAUUAGAAACCGUGGUAGUCCC